rnacentral:tRNA from 1 species
CAGGGAGACAAAAACUGAUUAUUGAUGUCUGAAUAAUUAUUUUCAGGCCAUAAUCCUGUCACCUUAGGUCGAUCGGUACCUCAGAUUAAAGAUCUAUAAAAUGAGAAAUCAAUUUUAAAUAUUGUCUUUAAUUUCAGUUCCUAAACUUGUCUAGGUCACACCCAACAAACUUUCUCCUGGGCUAUUAGCUCAGGCGGUUGGAGCGCACCCCUGAUAAGGGUGAGGUCCCUGGUUCAAGUCCAGGAUGGCCCAUUCGUUGUUGGGGGUAUAGCUCAGUUGGUAGAGCGCCUGCUUUGCAAGCAGGAUGUCGGCGGUUCGAGUCCGCUUACCUCCACUGAACCCACCCUGAUAACAAAAAGGCAGGAGAUUUGUUGACGUGACUUGGAUUUGUCUAUCUGAUAAGAACCUAGCUUCUUAUCAUCUUCAAACUAAAACGAAGUUGGUAAUAUGCUGGGCUCUCAUGGAAUUUUCCAUGUGAUUUCAGUAGAACCUUGAAAACUGCAUAGAUGGAAAGAAUAAAGCAUCUCAUGGAUGCAUAAUUCUGAAUUAAAUAAUUUAGUUUUAAUUUAAAUUAUUUAUUUUUUGAAUUCAUGUUUAAUUCUUGAGUAAAAGCCGAGCACAAUUGAUUUUGUGAUUGUAUUUAA